rnacentral:rRNA from 1 species
GGUGGAGCAUGUGGUUUAAUUCGAAGCAACGCGAAGAACCUUACCAGGUCUUGACAUCCUCUGACAAUCCUAGAGAUAGGACGUCCCCUUCGGGGGCAGAGUGACAGGUGGUGCAUGGUUGUCGUCAGCUCGUGUCGUGAGAUGUUGGGUUAAGUCCCGCAACGAGCGCAACCCUUGAUCUUAGUUGCCAGCAUUCAGUUGGGCACUCUAAGGUGACUGCCGGUGACAAACCGGAGGAAGGUGGGGAUGACGUCAAAUCAUCAUGCCCCUUAUGACCUGGGCUACACACGUGCUACAAUGGACAGAACAAAGGGCAGCGAAACCGCGAGGUUAAGCCAAUCCCACAAAUCUGUUCUCAGUUCGGAUCGCAGUCUGCAACUCGACUGCGUGAAGCUGGAAUCGCUAGUAAUCGCGGAUCAGCAUGCCGCGGUGAAUACGUUCCCGGGCCUUGUACACACCGCCCGUCACACCACGAGAGUUUGUAACACCCGAAGUCGGUGA